AGUGAACGCUGGCGGUAGGCCUAACACAUGCAAGUCGAACGGCAGCACAGUAAGAGCUUGCUCUUACGGGUGGCGAGUGGCGGACGGGUGAGGAAUACAUCGGAAUCUACUUUUUCGUGGGGGAUAACGUAGGGAAACUUACGCUAAUACCGCAUACGACCUACGGGUGAAAGCAGGGGAUCUUCGGACCUUGCGCGAUUGAAUGAGCCGAUGUCGGAUUAGCUAGUUGGCGGGGUAAAGGCCCACCAAGGCGACGGUCCGUAGCUGGUCUGAGAGGAUGAUCACCCACACUGGAGCUGAGACACGGUCCAGACUCCUACGGGAGGCAGCAGUAGGGAAAAUUAGACAAUGGGCGCAAGCCUGAUCCAGCCAUACCGCGUGGGUGAAGAAGGACUUCGGGUUGUAAAGCCCUUUUGUUGGGAAAGAAAAGCAGCAGGUUAAUACCCCGCUGUUCUGACGGUACCCAAAGAAUAAGCACCGGCUAACUUCGUG
rnacentral:rRNA from 1 species